rnacentral:rRNA from 1 species
CCAGACUCCUACGGGAGGCAGCAGUGGGGAAUAUUGCACAAUGGGGGGAACCCUGAUGCAGCGACGCCGCGUGAGUGAAGAAGUAUUUCGGUAUGUAAAGCUCUAUCAGCAGGGAAGAUAAUGACGGUACCUGAGUAAGAAGCCCCGGCUAACUACGUGCCAGCAGCCGCGGUAAUACGUAGGGGGCAAGCGUUAUCCGGAUUUACUGGGUUUAAAGGGUGCGCAGGCGGUCUGUUAAGUCAGCGGUCAAAGCCGGGGGCCACCCCCCCGGCCCGCCGUUGAAACUGGCAGUCUCGAGUUGGAGAGAAGUAUGCGGAAUGCGCGGUGUAGCGGUGAAAUGCAUAGAUAUCGCGCAGAACUCCGAUUGCGAAGGCAGCAUGCCGGCUCCACACUGACGCUGAGGCACGAAAGCGUGGGUAUCGAACAGGAUUAGAUACCCUCGUA